rnacentral:lncRNA from 1 species
AAAGCCGAAACAAGCAUUCUUGAAAAAAAAUUCUACAAACACUUGGAAGAUCAACAAGCAAAGACAACAAGGAAGUGCACUAACCAAAAAGAGGAUCAACAAAGGGAGUUCUCUUAUUUCCUUUGCAACUUGGUUUAUUGUUAAUUACCUUUUUAAUUACGUUUUAGAUGGUGAGUGUGUCUUCAAGGGCUCUAAGUGUCCAAGAAGCCUCACCUAGGGCCGAAU